CUACUGUUCACUAAUGAAAGCUUGGUGUAACCCAAAUUUUGACUUCUGUCAUGUGUGCAUUUGCUACGUGCUUAAAAGUACAGGACAGUCUGUUCUGAUGGCCUCAGCUGAACUUUAGCCUUUAGGAGACUUCUGCAUUAAUAUAGAAAAAGAAGAAGAAAAAGAUAUAGAUUUCCAUCUAGUCUCACAGAACUUUUAUGUUUUGCGCUUAUGACGCUGUUUUUCUGAGUUUUGGCUUCACACGUCUGUAUUUUGAGUUAUUUUUUAUCCUUGUGGGUUUUUGAUAAGGGAGACAAUACAGCCAAUCUCCUGAGGUCUUUGCAACCCUGCAUUUAGCUGAGCAACACCCAAAGGCAACAGCUAUCUGUUGAUCUUCUAAAAUGUGGAAGUGAAACUGGACUGCAAGGCCCAUCUGGUAUCUUUAUAUGGACCAGAGGCAUAUGACCAAUGUCUUUCUAUCUAUUUGAGACAUGACUUCAUUUCUGGAUCACGAGACUCUUUGCUUGAAGGGACUACAUAAGGAGGUGCAAACCCCUCCUUCCUCAGCUCAGACUGAGUUCAGCCUAGACCCUUCUAGCUGGACUUAGUCUUUUCUCACCUUCUUCUUUAUCUUUGAUUCCGGGCUCACUUGAAUACUUCGAACUUCUCUCAGAUAUGAGAUUAAUCUAGUCAAGUGCAAUUUGACCUGCAAAUGCUCUAUAGAAGUGGAUGAUGACGAAGCCUUCAUCCAAAAAUCCACAGAGGAGACCACAGUGGGAAUCUACAUUCUUAAAUUCCAUGACAGAUCAGAUGACAUCGGGAUUGUUCUGGAAGGCCAGAACAUCUUGCAAGGCUUGGACAACUUUGCGUUAGCUAUGGCAAUGCCUUAUGUCUUAUGUAUGCCUUAAAUCUCAACUACCCACCUGAAAUAAAAAAUACAUUUGAGGUACUGCAGAAGAUAGUCUUCUGUUUUUUAAUAACUUGAUACUGUUCGUUUACUUCUGUAGCACAUACAUAAAAAUGAAUUGUACUCUUAAUAGAAAUACAUGAAUUUGACUUUUUAUGAUUUUAAAAUUGAAAACAAAAAUGUCAAGGUAUGCUUUUGACAACUUGAUAUUGUUCACCUUUUCCUCUACACCUGUUUGACGGUGUAUUUGUCUUAAUGUUUGUUUUGUUGCAGUUAUUGUAUGAAUGGUUAUUACUGUUCACCUUUUCCACGAUAUGUUUGUGCAUUGUCUUUUACUUGAAGUGAUGAAUAAAUGAAAUGAGUAAAGUGA